UUACCCACCGUCAGCCCAUCUGU
rnacentral:piRNA from 1 species